rnacentral:tRNA from 1 species
GGCGAAUUGGAGAAACGGUUAACUCACAUGCCUUUCACGCAUGCAUCCACGGGUUCAAAUCCCGUAUUCGUCACCA